UUUACUAGAGCUGCAACAGCUAAAGCAUCAUUGUUGUCAGCACAAAUGGAGAAGAUAUUAAGGAGCAGAAGUGAAUAAGGGAAUGUAUACCUCUGUCAUUUGGAAAUCACAUAAGUGAUAUUAGGAACACCACCUGUUGGAAAAGAAUGAAGAGCUACGAAUGAAGAUGUUAAAGGAACAAGCAGACUUAAAUAAAUUGUGUCAGCUUCUUGGCCAGAGUGAGGAAUACGCAGCGUGAGGUUGGUCACUACUUUGCUUGCUACAGUCCAGGGUGGAUCUAACCUUCAACAAGCCUGAGGUUGGGAACUUAAAGUUAACCCUUGCAUUCUGUUCUAAGGAUGCUCAGGCAACGGCUCAGCAAGUAAUUUCCAUAUUUAUGUUUUACAAUUCAAUUAAGAUUUGGAGCAGGCAUCUAGGCUUUCUUACUAUCCUGCUCUCGUUAAUUUUUCCUCACUGGAGGUUUAGCCAAAUUGUCUUCCUUCUCAUAUGGGCACGUCUGUGAUUUCUUUUGAAGGAAGUAUUGGCAAACUGAUCCACAACUAUGCUAGACUCUGACAUUUAUCAGACAUUAAGCAGCAUUCUCCUGCAGCUGGCCAUGGUCUUCGCUAUCUGUUCUGUCUCAGAUUCCAAUGUCUGCCAAAUCCCACAAAACCUGUAGCAGAGAGCCUUUGUUAAAGAUGAGCUAAACUCUUCUUAUUUUUCAAACAUAGGUUAUAGGCUUUGUGUUGAGGUCAGAUGACCAAAAGUGGGCCUAACAUAGAGACAAACUUGGUGUAUCUACACAAGACGUUUUAUUGCACAGUGGAGUUAAUUACUGCAUAGUAAGCUUCACUGUCUACACAUGCUGACACUUACUAUGCAGUAAUUUCCUCUACUCAGCCAUUAAUUUGCAAAUUAACUGCCGAGUAAUUACUGCGCAGAAUGGUAAAUUUGCUGCUGGGCAGCAGGGGGUGAAAGGCUGCUCCCUGCCCCUGGAAGCUGCCUGCUGCUAGGGUGGGGUCUGCCAUCAGAUCUCAGGCAGAGACAAUGUCACCCUUCCCCAGUAGCAGG
rnacentral:lncRNA from 1 species